rnacentral:tRNA from 1 species
AAUUAAAUAGCUUAUCUUUUAAAGCAAAUCUUUGAAGCAGAUUAGAAGAGAAAUCUUUAAUUA